UAGCUACCAAGCUUUCUCCUUAACAAAGUGUACAGACAAAAUUUUUCUUGCUUAUAUCUCACUAACAGGAAGUAAAAUUGAGAGCGGCCAUCCUUUUGGCGUCAUUUCCGGCAGCUGCAGCUUCAUUGAAGAAGAUUGUGAAAAGCCAGAAAAAGCUCCCGACAUGAGCUCAGAAAUGCUCCUUCCCGUAAAGAUGUACGGACUACAAUUUGUCUUAGUUAACUCCCGUAAAAGAACGGUCAGAGAUUUUAUUUGGAUUACAGCUUCUGAACCGAACGCACGUUUAAACUUCUACUAUUACAAUUUUAAGCUACAAAUUUAUUUAAAAGACCUUGUUCA
rnacentral:sRNA from 1 species